rnacentral:lncRNA from 1 species
AGGAAAUCUUCAUAACCUCAGGAAGUUCUCCUGUGCCUCUUUGCAGUCACUUCCUCUCCGUGUCUUCCUCCCACCCCCGCCAUCUGAGGCAACCACAACUGGAAUUUCUAUCAUAUUGUGUUAAAUUACUACUUCUAGAAAUUCAUGUAAAUGAAAUCAACCAGAAUGUGAUGUUUUCAGAAUACCUGAAACUAAGCAAUGGAUAAAGAAGAAAAACGUAUUUCAUGUAAUUCUGGAGGCUUGGGAAAUCAAGGUCAAGAGGGAACAUCUGGUGAGAGCCUUCUUGCUGACAGAGUCUGUCACCAGGCUGGAGUGCAGUGGUGUGAUCUCGGUUCACUGUAACCUCUGCCUCCCAGGUUUCAAGCAAUUCUCCUGCCUCAGCCUCCCAAGUAGCUAGGACUACAGGCAUGCACCACCAUGCCCAGCUAAUUUUUGUAUUUUUAAUAGAAACAAGGUUUCACCAUGUUGGCCAGGGUGGUCUCAAUCUCCUGACUUCGUGAUCCACCCACCUUGGCCUCCCAAAGUGCUGAGAUUAUAGGCGUGAGCCACUGUACUCAGCCAUAUCUUUUUAAUUCGCGUAUUAAAUUCCAUUUGGAAUUCAUAUUCAUGUUUGAAAUUAGGAAGAGGUUUAACUAUAUACACACACAAAACACACAUUGACAUAUAUUUACAAAUAAACAAUUGUAUAAAUUCCUUUAUUGAAAAACUCGUAUUUUCCAAGUUGGUUGAGUCACCAUUAUCAUAUAUUAAAUGAUCAUACAUGUAUGGUUCUGCUUAUAUUUAUUUCUCUACACUAGGUAGAAUAUUUAAUAAUGUUGGAACAGAUACCACUGUCUUGUUCUGGCCUUAUUAAAAAUGUCUUUAUACUCGAGAAGCAAUAUGAUGUUUGAUAUUGAUCUUAGAUAAUUAUGUUUCAUAAUAUUCAGAAAUUCAUUUAGUCCAAUUGUAUCUUGGUAAUUUUAUAAAAAAUGUGUGCUGUAUAUUAUCAAUAUUUUUGUGUCUACUAUAUAUUCAUAAUUUCUCCCCAUUAUUUGCUAACUUGAUGAUAAAUGUUUGUUUUCUCAUACUUAUCCAUCCUUGAAUUGCUAAAAUUGAAUAUGUUUGGUCACAUUUUUGCAUUUCUAAUGGGGCAUGGAUACAUCUGUUACAAAUUUAGAUGCUAUAUUUAACUAUGAAAAAAUGUUUUUUAAUAAAGGACCCAUAAAACAAACAUGCUUCUCAAAUGAUUAGUGAAAUAUGUAUGCAUUUACAAUAUAAAUAAAAUAGUUGCAAAAUUAUCAGAAUAUUUUGUUUGUUUGUUUUGAGACAGAGUUUUGCUCUUGUUGCCCAGGCUGCAGUGCAAUGGCUCUAUUUCGGCUCACUGCAACCUCUGUCUCCCAGGUUCAAGCCUCCCAAGUAGCGGGGAUUACAGGCACACACCACCAUGCCUGGCUAAUUUUUUGUAUUUUUAGUAGAAACGGGGUUUCAUCAUGUUGUCCAGGCUAGUCUGGAACUCCUGACCUGA